UGGGGAAUUUUGGACAAUGGGCGAAAGCCUGAUCCAGCAAUGCCGCGUGUGUGAAGAAGGCCUUCGGGUUGUAAAGCACUUUUGUCCGGAAAGAAAUCCUCUGGGUUAAUACCUCGGGGGGAUGACGGUACCGGAAGAAUAAGCACCGGCUAACUACGUGCCAGCAGCCGCGGUAAUACGUAGGGUGCAAGCGUUAAUCGGAAUUACUGGGCGUAAAGCGUGCGCAGGCGGUUUUGUAAGACGGAUGUGAAAUCCCCGGGCUUAACCUGGGAACUGCAUUCGUGACUGCAAGGCUAGAGUAUGGCAGAGGGGGGUAAAUUCCACGUGUAGCAGUGAAAUGCGUAGAGAUGUGGAGGAAUACCGAUGGCGAAGGCAGCCCCCUGGGCCAAUACUGACGCUCAUGCACGAAAGCGUGGGGAGCAAACAGGAUUAGAUACCCUGGUAGUCCACGCCCUAAACGAUGUCAACUAGUUGUUGGGGAUUCAUUUCCUUAGUAACGUAGCUAACGCGUGAAGUUGACCGCCUGGGGAGUACGGUCGCAAGAUUAAAACUCAAAGGAAUUGACGGGGUCAUAGCUGUUUCCU
rnacentral:rRNA from 1 species